AUUGAACGCUGGCGGCAUGCCUUACACAUGCAAGUCGAACGGCAGCACGGGGGCAACCCUGGUGGCGAGUGGCGAACGGGUGAGUAAUGCAUCGGAACGUGCCCCGUAGCGGGGGAUAACCAGUCGAAAGACUGGCUAAUACCGCAUACGCUCCACGGAGGAAAGCAGGGGAUCGCAAGACCUUGCACUAUGGGAGCGGCCGAUGCCCGAUUAGCUAGUUGGUGAGGUAAAGGCUCACCAAGGCGACGAUCGGUAGCUGGUUUGAGAGAACGACCAGCCACAC
rnacentral:rRNA from 1 species